GACGAACGCUGGCGGCGUGCCUAACACAUGCAAGUCGAGCGAAUGAAGUUCCUUCGGGAAUGGAUUUAGCGGCGGACGGGUGAGUAACACGUGGGCAACCUGCCUCAUAGAGGGGAAUAGCCUUCCGAAAGGGAGAUUAAUACCGCAUAAGGUUGUAGUAUCGCAUGAUACAGCAAUUAAAGGUGCAAUCCGCUAUGAGAUGGGCCCGCGGCGCAUUAGCUGGUUGGUGAGGUAACGGCUCACCAAGGCGACGAUGCGGAGCCGACCUGAGAGGGUGAUCGGCCACAUUUGGACUGCGACCCGGCCCAGACUCCUACGGGAGGCAGCAGUGGGGAAUAUUGCACAAUGGGGGAAACCCUGAUGCAGCAACGCCGCGUGAGUGAUGACGGCCUUCGGGUUGUAAAGCUCUGUCUUCAGGGACGAUAAUGACGGUACCUGAGGAGGAAGCCACGGCUAACUACGUG
rnacentral:rRNA from 1 species